CAUCUUGUCAGUUUCCCUGAGUCUCAGUCAUAAUCCCAACCCCCUUUCUCAAUGGCAUCGGCAUUAUUAGUCAUGCAAAUGAAGCCUUAUGUCCUGUUUCCGAUGAGCUGAGUGAUGGAUGGGUGAGCAGCCUGGGGAACGCUCCCAUGCGCUCCUCCGAUAGGCUGACGAGCCUCAGGAAGGUACAGGUUGGCAGGGUCUGAGUUACCAAAACUCUUGUCAAGAAAAGGAUGAGCAGCUGGUCCCUCCAUGUGGCCUUGGUGAUGCUAAGAGAAACCACUUUGAAAGCUGAAGACGGGAAGUGGCACUGCCACUUCUCCCGUUGCUGAGGGAAAUAACAACUUCCCAAGUGUUUGUUCUGGAUCACCGUUUGAGGUCGAAGUCCAUCAUGGUGGGGAAGGCAUGGCGGCAGGGCUUCUGCAUACUCUAGUGUUGACUCCAUGCUGUUGAUCUGGAAGGGAGUUGCUGAAACCUGUGGAAACAUGCAAGCUCAGAUCUGGAAAAGCCUAAGGUGCCACCAACCGACCAGGUAGGACAGAAACCUUCAUCUACAGGAUGUGGCCAGGAACCAUCUGUCUCUGCAUCUCCUAUCAUUCAGAGCUCCAGCCCAGGUGACUCUCGACACCUCUCCUUAGGUCAUUAUGGUGAGAAGAAGUGGCCCUGUGUGCCCCUGCAGACCUCUGUGUCAUCAGCAAGCACGUGGAGGUCAGAGGACAACCUUUGGGUGUCAACCCUCACCUUUCUCCUUCGUUUGAUACGGGGUCUCUUUGCCAGUGCGUGUACCAGACUACCUGACCUGCAGCUUCUGCGGAUGCUCCAGUGUCUGCCUCCUGCCUCCUGGUGGGGAUUACAAGUACUUGCACUAUUGCACCCAGCUUGCAUAUGGGUUCCAAGGGGUCUGAAAUCGGGAUGUCAGGCUUGCAAGGCCAUCACUUUGCCCCCUAAGGCAUCUCUCCAGCCCAGCAUACUUCAUCCUUGCUCUGAUGGUCACUGUGGUGGUGACCGAGUGACUCUAGGUCCUAUCCAUUCUGCCCUAAGGUCCUCCCUGCUGUUGAACUCACUGUGUGGAUUUUUUUUUUCCUGUUUCUCAAAGAUUGGAAUUCAGGGCCUUGUGCAUACUAAGCAAGCACUCCACCACUGGGCAACAGCCCUCAAUGACUGACUCUGAAUCAGAUCUGGUAACCAAGCACAGGCAUCCAUGUCUCUAAGAACCUAUGGCGUGGAGCCUCCUGAGAUUGCGCUGGAGAUAAUGGAAGGUGCCUCCGUAGUUUAGACAGAAGGAGCUUUGCCUAGCAAGGAGUAUUAGCCGCCCCCAAGCCAUCGAGACAGGAAAAGCAGGCUGUGAGCUGAGCCCUAGGGAAAACCUCCAAUCCCCAGAAUCCUUCUGGGUCUCCUCCACCGUUGCCAAGGAAACCAACAAAUCAGGAAGCUCCUUAAACGCGCCAGUAAAAGAGAAGCGCGCGCUCCAUCUCUCUUCCCAUUUAAACUCUUUCCAAAGCCGGUCCUGCUCGCGUGACUCUGGUUGGCGAGGGCUGAAUCGCAGCUGAAAGUCUCUCUUUGCAAGUGGGUUAUAGGGAAAUUGGUUUUCUUUUCCUGGCUUCUUGAUGUAAAAAGGCACGCGUGAAGGAGGUUGGAAUAGAUGUCGAACACACGGCAUCCUCCUCACCGCUAAUCUCGCCACAUCUGAACGGUUCUUUUCUUGAAAGCUUCACUCAGAAACGGGCUUUGAGCUCACUGAGAGGACGUUUGUCUGUUCAGCUCCACCGCGGAUUUAGAGA